AACGAACGCUGGCGGCAUGCCUAACACAUGCAAGUCGAACGAGACCUUCGGGUCUAGUGGCGCACGGGUGCGUAACGCGUGGGAACCUGCCCUUAGGUUCGGAAUAACUCCCCGAAAGGGGUGCUAAUACCGGAUAAUGUCUUCGGACCAAAGAUUUAUCGCCUUUGGAUGGGCCCGCGUUGGAUUAGCUAGUUGGUAGGGUAAAAGCCUACCAAGGCGACGAUCCAUAGCUGGUCUGAGAGGAUGAUCAGCCACACUGGGACUGAGACACGGCCCAGACUCCUACGGGAGGCAGCAGUGGGGAAUAUUGGAAAAUGGGGGAAAGCCUGAUCCAGCAAUGCCGCGUGAGUGAUGAAGGCCUUAGGGUUGUAAAGCUCUUUUACCCGGGAUGAUAAUGACAGUACCGGGAGAAUAAGCUCCGGCUAACUCCGUG
rnacentral:rRNA from 1 species